rnacentral:ncRNA from 1 species
GCCACGGGAGCUCGAAGCGAGCUGAGAGGGGACGAACCCCGACCGUAGAACCUGAUCCGGGUCAUACCGGCGUAGGAAGGCU